GGCUUGAUGUUUUGGAAACACUGGACCUUGAAUGCCCGCUUAAGAUGUUCGAUUCAUCUUCAU
rnacentral:tRNA from 1 species